GCGAGGAUGGCGGAACUGGCAGACGCGCUAGUUUGAGGGGCUAGUGGGGUAACACCCGUGGGGGUUCGAGUCCCCCUCCUCGCA
rnacentral:tRNA from 1 species